AGGUGCAAGGGAUGAAAAAGAAAAGAAAGAUAUAUAGAAAGAGGAGGAAGGAGCUGAUGGAAUCUGAAGUAGACACAGAGCCUGAAAGGGAACUUCCCACCAAGUUAUACUUUGAAGUAUCAGCUGUUUGAGCAUCCAAUUUUCAAAUGGAAGUUUGAGAGGAAGAUUCCAGAGUGGUAUGGAAGACCAUAAAGCCUUGAACAUCAGCGUCAACUAUUGCCAGAAGUGAUCGAAGAAGAUUUGUACCCUUACAAAUUGAAAAGGAUUUUCAAAUAGGUAGUAAUUCCUAUUUGAAAUACUAAAUGGAAGCUGAUCACGUGCAGGUGAUUUGAAUGGAAACUGACUUUGGGAAACAUUACCAUCUAUCUAAAACUGUAACACACAGAAACUGGAAUUUCAUUGGUAAGAGUCCUGAUAUAUGAAGAAUAAGGUCAUACAAAUGUGUUAGAGUGGAAUGGAAAUGUGUAUUUAUUAAUAUGGGUUCUUAUCAAUUG